rnacentral:rRNA from 1 species
GACGGAGGGGGCUAGCGUUGUUCGGAAUUACUGGGCGUAAAGAGCGCGUAGGCGGUUUAGUAAGUUGGAAGUGAAAGCCCGGGGCUUAACCUCGGAAUUGCUUUCAAAACUGCUAAUCUAGAGUGUAGUAGGGGAUGAUGGAAUUCCUAGUGUAGAGGUGAAAUUCUUAGAUAUUAGGAGGAACACCGGUGGCGAAGGCGGUCAUCUGGGCUACAACUGACGCUGAGGCGCGAAAGCGUGGGGAGCAAACAGG